rnacentral:rRNA from 1 species
GACGAACGCUGGCGGCGUGCUUAACACAUGCAAGUCGAACGGAAAGGCCCUGCUUUUGUGGGGUGCCCGAGUGGCGAACGGGUGAGUAACACGUGAGUAACCUGCCCUUGACUUUGGGAUAACUUCAGGAAACUGGGGCUAAUACCGGAUAGGAGCUCCUGCUGCAUGGUGGGGGUUGGAAAGUUUCGGCGGUUGGAGAUGGACUCGCGGCUUAUCAGCUUGUUGGUGGGGUAGUGGCUUACCAAGGCUUUGACGGGUAGCCGGCCUGAGAGGGUGACCGGCCACAUUGGGACUGAGAUACGGCCCAGACUCCUACGGGAGGCAGCAGUGGGGAAUAUUGCACAAUGGGCGGAAGCCUGAUGCAGCAACGCCGCGUGCGGGAUGACGGCCUUCGGGUUGUAAACCGCUUUCGCCUGUGACGAAGCGUGAGUGACGGUAAUGGGUAAAGAAGCACCGGCUAACUACGUG